CCAAGAUGGAUCUUUUUUCCCAAGGACAAAAGACUUAGUCCUAACCUUACCGUUAAUUCUCGCUCAACAUAUACAUGCAAGUAUCCGCACCCCAGUGCAAACGCCCUAAAACCCCUUACCAAGGCACUAGGAGCAGGCAUAGGCACACCCCUGUAGCCCAAGACGCCACGCCCCGCCACACCCCCACGGGUACUCAGCAGUAAUUAACAUUAAGCAAUGGGCGUAAGCCUGACUUAGCUAGAGCGAUCAGGGUUGGUAAAUCUUGUGCCAGCCACCGCGGUCAUACAAGAAACCCAAAUUAACUGUACACGGCCGUAAAGAGUGGCCUCAGACUAUUAAAGCAGAUUAAGACCAAACUUCAACCUAAGCCGUCACAAGCCCAAGGUCCCCGAAGCCCAACCUAAAAACGAUCUUAACACCAACGACCCAUCCUACCCCACGAAAGCCAGGGCACAAACUGGGAUUAGAUACCCCACUAUGCCUAGCCCUAAAUCUUGAUGUUCCCCAAACACAAACAUCCGCCCGAGAACUACGAGCACAAACGCUUAAAACUCUAAGGACUUGGCGGUGCCCUAAACCCACCUAGAGGAGCCUGUUCUAUAAUCGAUAACCCACGAUCCACCCGACCACUUCUUGCCAAAACAGCCUACAUACCGCCGUCCCCAGCCCACCUCCGUGAGAGCACAACAGUGAGCCCAACAGCCCCCACCCCGCUAAUAAGACAGGUCAAGGUAUAGCCCAUGAAGUGGAAGAAAUGGGCUACAUUUUCUAAAAUAGAACACCCAACGAAAAGGGGCCUGAAACCUGCCCCAAGAAGGCGGAUUUAGCAGUAAAGCGGGAUGAUCAAGCCCCCUUUAAGCUGGUCCUAGGGCACGUACAUACCGCCCGUCACCCUCCUACACAAGCCCCACAAGCCCACUAACUAAUACAACCAACAGCUAAAGAAGAGGUAAGUCGUAACAAGGUAAGUGUACCGGAAGU
rnacentral:ncRNA from 1 species